GUGGAUUAGAUACCCUAGUAGUCCACGCCGUAAACGGUGGGUACUAGGUGUGGGGGACAUUCCACGUUCUCCGUGCCGUAGCUAACGCAUUAAGUACCCCGCCUGGGGAGUACGGCCGCAAGGCUAAAACUCAAAGGAAUUGACGGGGCCCCGCACAAGCGGCGGAGCAUGCGGAUUAAUUCGAUGCAACGCGAAGAACCUUACCUGGGUUUGACAUAUGCCGGAAACAUUCAGAGAUGGGUGCCCCUUUUUGGUCGGUAUACAGGUGGUGCAUGGCUGUCGCCAACU
rnacentral:rRNA from 1 species